rnacentral:misc_RNA from 1 species
AAGUCGUAACAAGGUUUCCGUAGGUGAACCUGCGGAAGGAUCAUUACCAAAAAAAUCCUUUAUCAACCACUUGUGAACUGUAUCUGAGUACUUGGGACUAUAUAUAUAGCAGUAAGCAUGAAAAUGCUGAAAACUAUAUACAUCCCACCAGUUAAACCACAAACAAAACUUCUUGUUGCAAAUAAGAAAAACUUUAUUUUCAUUAAUAAAGUAUGAGACAACUUUUAACGGUGGAUCUCUUGGCUCAU